rnacentral:tRNA from 8 species
GCGCCCGUAGCUCAGCUGGAUAGAGCGCCGCCCUCCGGAGGCGGAGGUCACAGGUUCGACUCCUGUCGGGCGCGCCA